rnacentral:snRNA from 1 species
CUACUUAACUGGCAGGGGAGACACCAUGAUCACGUAGGUGGUUUCCAGGGUGAGGCUCCGCAUUGCACUUUGGGCUGUGCUGACCCCUGCGAUUUCCCAAGUGCGGGAAACUCGACUGCAUAAUUGGUGGUAGUGGGGGACUGCGUUCGCACUCUCCCCUG